CCCCCUGGAGCUCCCUUGGGACUGUCCUUUGAGGGCCUUCUCUUAUGUUUUUCAGGAGAUCUGCUUGAAAACAUCCACCUACUCCACCCAGGGCAGCAGAAACUACUCGGGGAGGCUGUACUGGGCCCCUUCUUCCAGCUGAGAUGGAUAACCUGAAGCACAGAGACAUCAAAUAGGCCACACAGCUGGAAGUGCCAGGACCAGAGCCCAAGUUUAUCCAGCUCCAAAGCACAUGGUCUUUCUCCCAUACCCACUUACCUUCCUGCCUCCUAGUCUGAAGAGAAAACACUCAACAAAGAAAGCUCCCUCACCACCUAAUUGAUGUGGCAUUGGAAACAGCCUUGUUCUUCCUCGCCUACAAUAGACUUCCUUUGCUCCAUUCCAGAGAGGGGAGAAGAAGCAAUGAACUGCCUGGGGGAGGCAGUUCUGCAGAAAGAAUCUGAAGGCCACUGUGGAAGGAAUUGGCCACGGAUGCUGAAUGAUGACAACAGUACUGGAGAAAAUGAGGAGCCACUGGAGGGAUCCAAACAGAGAAGUGUCAUGAUCAGAUCUGAGGUGGGACAGUCAACCUGAUGGUGGUAUAGACAGUGGAUGGGAGAGACCCAAGACCAGCAUCCAAAUUCAAAGGCUGUGAUAAGCUCUAGCUAAAGGCUGGAAACCAGUUCAGACUCACAUACCAGGAUGUCCAACCCAUUCUCAACCAGGAAAAAGGAAGAAGAUUGAAGGAGAAAAAGGGACAGAGAUGGUCACCAAGCUGAAGGCAGAUGAAGAAGUGAGAAGAGAGCAAAGUGCCUUCUUGCUGGGAGCCUCCCUUGUGUCUGGAAUGAUCAGAAAUGGGAGAGAAAUGGUACAGCCUUCAGCAGAUGAAAUUGAGCGGUUGUGCUGUGAGGCGGGCUGUGGUACUUAAAUGCAAUAGCUGAUCUAAUCACUAGUCUCGUUCUCUGGGAAGCUUUUUGCUGCAUUUUAGCACAGAAAAGUGUUGUCUUUCUCUCUUUUGUGGCUCGAGCUGCUAUUUAAGAAAGCAAAAA